rnacentral:rRNA from 1 species
CAGUAGCCGCGGUAAUACGAAGGGUGCAAGCGUUACUCGGAAUUACUGGGCGUAAAGCGUGCGUAGGUGGUGGUUUAAGUCCGUUGUGAAAGCCCUGGGCUCAACCUGGGAAUUGCAGUGGAUACUGGGUCACUAGAGUGUGGUAGAGGAUAGUGGAAUUUCCGGUGUAGCAGUGAAAUGCGUAGAGACCGGAAGGAACAUCUGUGGCGAAGGCGACUAUCUGGGCCAACACUGACACUGAGGCACGAAAGCGUGGGGAGCAAACAGGAUUAGAUACCCCGGUAGUCCCUGUCUCUUAUAC